UACGGAGGUUGCAAACGUUGCUCGGAAUCAUUGGGCGUAAAGCGCACGUAGGCGGCUCGUUAAGUCGGAUGUGAAAUGCCUCGGCUCAACCGAGGACGUGCAUUCGAAACUGGCGAGCUUGAGUAUGGAAGAGGGUCGCGGAAUUCCCGGUGUAGAGGUGAAAUUCGUAGAUAUCGGGAGGAACACCAGUGGCGAAGGCGGCGACCUGGGCCAAUACUGACGCUGAGGUGCGAAAGCGUGGGGAGCAAACAGG
rnacentral:rRNA from 1 species